GGGAACAUACCCUUUUCUACGGAAUAGCUCUGGGAAACUGGAGUUAAUACCGUAUACGCCCUACGGGGGAAAGAUUUAUCGGGGAAGGAUUGGCCCGCGUUGGAUUAGCUAGUUGGUGGGGUAAAGGCCUACCAAGGCGACGAUCCAUAGCUGGUCUGAGAGGAUGAUCAGCCACAUUGGGACUGAGACACGGCCCAAACUCCUACGGGAGGCAGCAGUGGGGAAUAUUGGACAAUGGGCGCAAGCCUGAUCCAGCCAUGCCGCGUGAGUGAUGAAGGCCUUAGGGUUGUAAAGCUCUUUCACCGAUGAAGAUAAUGACGGUAGUCGGAGAAGAAGCCCCGGCUAACUUCGUGCCAGCAGCCGCGGUAAUACGAAGGGGGCUAGCGUUGUUCGGAAUUACUGGGCGUAAAGCGCACGUAGGCGGAUAUUUAAGUCAGGGGUGAAAUCCCAGAGCUCAACUCUGGAACUGCCUUUGAUACUGGGUAUCUUGAGUAUGGAAGAGGUAAGUGGAAUUGCGAGU
rnacentral:rRNA from 1 species